GGGGCUAUAGCUCAGGCGGUUAGAGCGCUUCACUGAUAAUGAAGAGGUCCCAGGUUCAAGUCCUGGUAGCCCCACAA
rnacentral:tRNA from 2 species